rnacentral:rRNA from 1 species
UACGUAGGUGGCGAGCGUUGUUCGGAUUUAUUGGGCGUAAAGGGUCUGUAGGAGGCUUGUUAAAUGUGGGGUGAAAUGCCGGAGCUCAACUCCGGAACUGCCCUGUAGACUGGCAGGCUCGAGUAUCGUAGAGGCAAGCGGAAUACCAGGUGUAGCGGUGGAAUGCGUAGAUAUCUGGUAGAACACCAAUAGCGAAGGCAGCUUGCUGGGCGUGUACUGACUCUGAAAGACGAAAGCAUGGGGAGCAAACAGG